rnacentral:rRNA from 1 species
CAGUCGCACGGGAAUACAGAGGGUGCAAACGUUGUUCGGAGUUACUGGGCGUAAAGCGAGUGUAGGCGGUUCUGUAAGUCGGAUGUGAAAGCCCCGGGCUCAACCCGGGAAGUGCACUCGAUACUGCAGAGCUAGAGUACUGGAGAGGUGGGUGGAAUUCUCGGUGUAGAGGUGAAAUUCGUAGAUAUCGAGAGGAACACCGGCGGCGAAGGCGGCCCACUGGACAGAUACUGACGCUGAGACUCGAAAGCGUGGGGAGCAAACAGGAUUAGAGACCCGGGUAGUCCCUGUCUCUUAUACA